GGGGGGGGGGGGGGGGGGGGUGGGGGGGUGCGGGUGGGGGGGGGAGUGGUGUGUGCGGUGGCGGGCGGGGGAGGGCCGGGUAAGCACCGGCGCUGGGGGGGGGACCAACCGCGGGAAACGGCUGCUGAUACCCCGUAGGCUGAGGAUCACAAGGCGGAGCCCGCCAGAGGAGGGACGCGCGGCUGCUUAGCUAGGUGGUGCGGCAAUAGCUGACCAAGGCGAUGAUCAGUAGCUGGUCCGAGAGGAUGACCAUCCACACGGGGAGUGAGACACGGCCCAGACGCAUACGGAAGGAAGCAGUGGGGAAUUUUCCGCAAUGGGCGAAAGCCUGACGGAGCAAUGGCGCGUGGAGGUAGAAGGCGUACGGGUCGUGAACUUCUUUUCCCGGAGAAGAAGCAACGAAGGUAUCUGGGGAAUAAGCACCGGCUCACUCUGUG
rnacentral:rRNA from 1 species